rnacentral:rRNA from 1 species
UACGUAGGUGGCAAGCGUUGUCCGGAAUUAUUGGGCGUAAAGCGCGCGCAGGUGGUUCUUUAAGUCUGAUGUGAAAGCCCACGGCUCAACCGUGGAAGGUCAUUGGAAACUGGGGAACUUGAGUGCAGAAGAGGAAAGUGGAAUUCCAAGUGUAGCGGUGAAAUGCGUAGAUAUUUGGAGGAACACCAGUGGCGAAGGCGAGUCUCUGGACAGUUACUGACGCUGAGGCACGAAGGCCAGGGGAGCAAACGGG